GACGAACGCUGGCGGCGUGCUUAACACAUGCAAGUCGAACGAAGUGGCGAACGGGUGAGUAACGCGUAAUCAACCUGCCCUUCAAGGGGGAACAACAGUUGGAAACGACGGCUAAUACCGCAUACUGAAGGAGGGGAUUGCGUCGGAUUAGCUAGUUGGCGGGGUAACGGCCCACCAAGGCGAUGAUCAGUAGCCGGGCGUAGAAGGUGAACGGCCACAAUGGGACUGAGAAACGGCCCAGACCCCUACGGGAGGCAGCAGGUGGGAAUCUUCCGCAAUGGACGAAAAUCUGACGGAGCAACGCCGCGUGAGUGAUGACGGCCUUCGGGUUGUAAAACUAUGUUAAUCGGGACGCGGUACCGGAAUAGAAAGCCACGACUAACUACGUGCCAGCAGCCGCGGUAAUAC
rnacentral:rRNA from 1 species